ensembl:lncRNA
ACACAAUACCUGCUUUAUUUCUAAGAUGAACUAACUAAAACAGCCUGUUGAACCCUAUGCAGUAUGCAAGGAUAAGCAUUUCCAGAACAGCACCGUGUGUUCAUCUGCAAACUUCACAUUUUGGCAGAAUCCAUACUAAAACCUCCAAGUGCUGACUUAAAAUAAAUUAAAUUACACUGAACCUCCCAGAGUCCACCUUGAAACAAAGUCAUGUUUACAAGCUUCUGGACGGAGGCAGCGAGUGGUGUUGAGGAUGAAUUUCACCAGAUCACGGUGCAGAUUGAAGUUACAUGUUCUGUCAUGGAGGAAAACCUUUCUAUGUCUGCCUGAGGCCACACAGAUCAGCCUGAGAUUCAUGUUGAAGUUUAAUUCAUGCUCUGAAUUGAUAAACGUCCUCUCCGCUGCACACAUAGUCGUUGAAGUCCAAAAGCACCAUUGACGUACUCUGCUCGGGGUCAGACAGACUCGUCGUCUCAAUCUCACUCUAUUAACGCUUCAAGAUCGUGAUUACUAUUGACUUACAGGUCUUUAUGAGAGCGAUUUGGCCUUCUUCAGUGUCACAGUACUCUGAAAACCAGAGCUCGUUCUCAUGUGCUGACAGGCCUUUCUCAGCCGAUGGCAAUUAACUAAAGUAGGAUCAGCAGCUGUUUGGCCGGUGACAGAUAUAUUGGAGCGGCUUUGCUGUGUACAGAGAGUCUGUUGGAGAAGGGAUCUGUGCGGAAAGCUGUAUGUUCUCUGACUGGCUCAUGCAGGAUGUUCUGGGAAAGAGAUGGAUGGCAUUUAAAUCCACCUUUACUGGAAAACAGUCCAAGAUCUGCUUCCCAGAGUCUCCAGGAUGAAUGUUCCUCGAGUGUUUAACAGUGUUUCUCUCAUCUGUCUGCGAGCAGAUGUCCUGCUUCUAGAAUCUAAUGCACCAGUUUUGCCAGAGGUUAAAGAGGUCUGGUAAACGUGUUUCACAAAUGCAGUUCGUUGUUUUUAAUCAGUUAUGUAUGUUUUAUCACACAACUUCAGUAAAAAUCACAGAGCAAAUAACGUAAUCCUAUCUGGAUAAUCUAGUCUGUGAUUAUGUACUGUAAGUGUGUAUUUAUUUAAUCAUUUAUUUAUCUAUUUAUUUAUUUUAGUCAUUUAUUUAUUUAUUCACUUUAUUUUAGAUUAAAAUGCAGCUGUUUUUGAAAAGUAGAUUUUUGUAGAUUUUUCAGAUUCAUUUAUUUAAUCAGUUUAUUUUAGUUGUUUAUUUAAUUAGUAAGUCAAGUAUUUAUUAAUCUAAUUUAUUUAUUUAGUCAGGCAUUAAUUAAUUGAUUGAUUGAUUAAGUAAUUAAUAUAGUCACAUAUUUAUUUAGUUAGCCAUUUGUCUAUUAAUCUAUGCAUUGAGUAACUCGUUCAUUAAUUUAUUUAUUUAGUAAUGUAUUUAUCUAGUAAUUUAAUCAGUCAUUCAUUUUAUUUUUGUAUUUAGUCAUGUAUUUAUUCAGUCAUUUGUUAAUUAAUCUAUUUAUUCGCUUGUAAUUUGUAAUUUAAAUUCAUUCAUUCAUUCAUUCAUUUAUUCAGUUUGCUAGGUAAAAUAUGUAUUUCAGGUGCUGAAUAAAAUAAAAUGAAAUUAAAAUGAAGAUCAUAUGCUGCUGUUAGCCCUUCUGAUCAUCUAUAAAUACUCCAUAUUUAUUCCUUUCCUAAAAUAUUGUAAUUAUAUCAUCCACCUAAAGUGCAUUAAUAAUUAUAAAUCGAAGUUAUAAUUGUUUUUUUUUGUUAUUAUGUUUCUUUGGUGUUUUCUUCUGUUAGACAGACAUUUGCGUUCUCUCUCUGUCUCUUCUGUGAUCUGAUCUGAUGCUUCAAACCCACUAAUUGAGAACAUCAAGGAAGUAUCAUCUUUCAAGAACAAGACGAGCAUAAAAUAAAUCACAC